UCAUACGAUUAACCCAAAUUAAUAGAAGAACGGCGUAAAGGGUGUUUAAGCAUAUAACCUACCAAAUAAAGUUAAAACUCAACUACGCUGUAAUAUGCCCUAGUUGAUAUUAAAAUACGCAACUUACGUGACUUUACCAAUGCUGAAGAUACUAAAGCUAAGGCAAACUGGGAUUAGAGACCCCACUAUGCUUAGCCAUAAACCUAGGUAAUUAAAUAACAAAAUUACUUGCCAGAGAACUACUAGCCACUGCUUAAAACUCAAAGGACUUGGCGGUGCCCUAGACCCUCCUAGAGGAGCCUGUUCUAUAAUCGAUAAACCCCGAUAUACCUCACCCCUUCUCGCUUAUCAGUCUGUAUACCGCCAUCAUCAGCUCAACCCAACAGGGUCCCAAAGUGAGCAAAAUCAUGAAACCAUAAAAACGUUAGGUCAAGGUGUAGCAUAUGAAGGGGGAAGUAAUGGGCUACAUUUUCUAUAUUAGAACACAAUGGAUUGUCUACUGAAAUAAAGACAUGAAGGAGGAUUUAGUAGUAAAUUACGAAUAGAGAGCUUAGUUGAAAUAGGCAAUAGGGUGCCUACACACCGCCCGUCACCCUCCUCAAUAAAGUAACCUACAAUACCUAAUUAGAGUACGUCAAAACGAGGAGAAAAGUCAUAACAUGGUAAGUGUAUUGGAAAGUGCACUUGAACAAUCAAAAUG
rnacentral:ncRNA from 1 species